UAGCUACUCCCUCCGUCUCAUAGUAAGUGGCUUAAAUUUGUUCAAAUAUGAAUGUAUUUAUAUUUAAAAGACGUUUAGAUAUAUGUAAUAGAAAAUCACUUAAUAUGAGACGGAGGGAGCAGAUA
rnacentral:pre_miRNA from 1 species